rnacentral:tRNA from 1 species
GCCUGGGUGGCUCAGUUGGUUGAGCUUCCGACUUCAGCUCAGGUCACGAUCUCACAGUUUGUGGGUUCGAGCUCCAUGUCAGGCU